rnacentral:lncRNA from 1 species
UACAUUAUAAAAACUCACUGGAAACACUGCAUAUAACCUUAACUACAUUUACCUAGAUUUGACUACAUUUUAAAAAUUCACUGGAAACACUUCAUAUAACCUUAAUUACAUUUAACUACAAUUGACUACAUUUGAAAAACUUACUGGAAACAAGUUCAACAGCUACUACUUUUACAUCUUGGAGGGUAAGGAACUUGAGUUUUACAAGAAGAAACUCCAGAGAAAGAAGGAAAGGGUGCCAGUGGUGCUGCUUAGAGUUGCACCUCCAUUUACUAGUUAAAGAUGGCUCGUACUAAGCACGGCCCAAGC